AUACGGAGGAUCCGAGCGUUAUCCGGAUUUAUUGGGUUUAAAGCGUGCGUAGGUGGUUUGUUAAGUCUGAUGUGAAAGCCCUGGGCUCAACCUGGGAAUGGCAUUGGAUACUGGCAGGCUAGAGUGCGGUAGAGGGUAGUGGAAUUCCCGGUGUAGCAGUGAAAUGCGUAGAGAUCGGGAGGAACAUCUGUGGCGAAGGCGACUACCUGGACCAGCACUGACACUGAGGCACGAAAGCGUGGGGAGCAAACAGG
rnacentral:rRNA from 1 species